AGAUCUGGCAAACUGGAGAAACAGAAGUGAAGAUCUCUGCUUGCACUGAGAGCUGAUUCCUCAAGAUGCACAGCCUGUCAACUCCUUGUGGCCUGCUCGACACCGCAGUGCAGAAACUGGGACACAAGUUAUGUCUUCCUACUGUAUCUCGGCCUUCUCCAGGCAGGUACCCAGACCUCCAGUGUGGAGACAGUCCAGCUGGCUCAAUUCACGUAAAGCCCAGUGAGAAAGACACAAGGAGGCCCCAGAAUAACUCUGAAACGUUUUUGGGUGCCAUCCUACAAGGUGAAAGAAAUGGGCUGAGCUGCUUUUAGGUAGAAAAGAGGGAUGAAUCCAGCACAUCACACACCAUGGGUAAGGACUCGAACUAUGGCCCUUCAAGGAAGAAGGCCACUCACAUCAUUAAGAGAUGUGCUCAAUUAAUCUCUCUCUGGACUAAAGGCCCAGCCAUGGGACAAGGCAGUAUUUACAAAAAGCACAGGAGACA